UUUGCUGGCGACCGGCGCACGGGUGAGUAACACGUAUCCAACCUGCCCUUUACUCGGGGAUAGCCUUUCGAAAGAAAGAUUAAUACCCGAUAGCAUAAUGAUUCCGCAUGGUUUCAUUAUUAAAGGAUUCCGGUAAAGGAUGGGGAUGCGUUCCAUUAGGUUGUUGGUGAGGUAACGGCUCACCAAGCCUCCGAUGGAUAGGGGUUCUGAGAGGAAGGUCCCCCACAUUGGAACUGAGACACGGUCCAAACUCCUACGGGAGGCAGCAUG
rnacentral:rRNA from 1 species